GCUGAGAAAAAUGGUUAUCCAUUUGGAAAAAAGAUAAAUUGAAUUUCUACUCACAACACACACACACAAAAAUCAACUCCAGAUGGAUUAAAAAGUUAAAUGUCAAAAACAAUGCUUUAAGAAAACUUUUAAUAGAAAACAUAGGUGACUGGGUUAGGAAAAAAUGUCUUAAGACAUUAAAAAUGUUAUGUAUAAAAAGAAAAUGUAGAUAAAUUUGACUAUUAAAAUCAAGGCCAGGUGUGUUGGCUCUCACCUGUAAUCCUGGUAGUUUGGGAGGCCGAGGUGGGAGGAUUGCUUGAGGCCAAGAGUUCAAGGCUAGCCUGGGCAACAUAGUGAGACCCUCCUUAUCUCUCCAAAAUAAAUUUUUUUUUUUUUUUGGCUGGGUGCAGUGGCUCACGCCUAUAAUCCCAACACUUUGGGAGGCCGAGGCGGGUGAAUCAAGGGCGGGAAAUCGAGACCAUUCUGGCUAACAUGGUGAACCCUGUCUCUACUAAAAAAUACAAAAAAUUAGCCUGGCGUGGUGGUGGGUGCCUGUAGUUCCAGCUACUCGGGAGGCUGAGGUAAGAGAAUGGUGUGAACCCAGGAACCGGAGCUUGCAGUGAGCCAACAUUGCGCCACUGCACUCUAGCCUGGGCGACAGAGCAAGACUCCAUCAGACUCCGUUGAGACUGAGUUUUGCUCUCGUUGCCCAGGCUGGAGUGCAGUGGCACAAUCUUGGCUCACUGCAACCUCCACCUCCUGGGUUCAAGUGAUUCUCCUGCUUCAGCCUCCUGAGUAGCUGGAAUUACAGGCACCCACCACUACAUCCAGCUAAUUUUUUUGUAUUUUUAGUAAAGAUGGGGUUUCACCAUGUUGGUCAGGCUGGUCUUGACCUCCUGACCUCAGAUGAUCGACCCACCUCAGCCUCCCAAAGUGCUGGGAUUACAGGCGUGAGCCACCGCACCCAGCCAGCACUUUGGGAGGCUAAGGUGGGCGGAUCACAAGGUCAGGAGAUCGAGACCAUCCUGGCUAACACGGUGAAACCCCAUCUCUACUUAAAAAACAAAAAAUUAGCCAGGUGUGGUAGUAUGCGCCUGUAGUCCCAGCUACUGAGGAGGCUGAGGCAGGAGAAUCUCUUGAACCUAGGAGGCGGAGGUUGCAGUGAGCCGAGAUUGCACCAUUGCACUCCAGCCUAGGUGACAGAACGAGACUCCAUCUCAAAAAAAAAAAAAGAGAGAGUCUCAAUAGAGAAGAGGACCAAGGACACUGCCUUGGGACAAGCCAACAUUUAGAUCGUGGGAACAGAAAGAAAAGCCAGCGGAGGUGACUUACAAGGAACUAGCUAGUGCGAUGGGAGGGAAACCAUUAGUGCAUCUUAUCCCUGCAGCCAAAUGCAAUGUCUCAAAGAGGGUGAAGUAAUCUCUUGCAUAAACUAAGAGCAGUUAGGUAAGAUGAAAACUGAGUAUCAGUCACUGGUCUUGCCACAAGGUGACCUUGACAAGUGAUCUCAUUGGAUCUGAUUGAGGAGGAGCUGCGGGUGAAGGAGCAUGGGUGACAAAGGAAGACAUCUCUUUUGAGGAGUUUUACUGCAAAGGGAGUAGAGGAAUAGGGGUUAGGUAGGUAGAUGGGGUCAAGUAAGAUUUUUAAAGACAAGAAAUAUUCUAGUAUGUUUGUAAGUUGAUGAGAAUGAUCCAGGAAAGAGAGAAAUCUGAGACUGCAAUUGCAAGAGGGAAUUACUACAGGAUGAAAGUCCUUGAGUCAUUGAAGGAAAGACUCCAGGGCACAGAUGGAGGAAGCAAGGCCAGUUCAUCCAGAGUAACGAGAAAGCAGAUCAGAGGCAUAGAUAAAUCAGCAGAUGUGGUGAGAAGAGAAAGAUACUUUCUUCUGAGGGCUCUGAUAUUCUCAGUAAAAUAAGAAACAAGGUCAUCUGCG
rnacentral:lncRNA from 1 species